CCUACGGGUGGCUGCAGUGAGGAAUAUUGGUCAAUGGACGGAAGUCUGAACCAGCCAAGCCGCGUGAAGGACGACGGUGCCAUGAAUUGUAAACUUCUUUUGUCAGGGGACAAACUCAGACACGCGUGCCUGUCUGAAAGUACCUUACGAAAAAGCAUCGGCUAACUCCGUGCCAGCAGCCGCGGUAAUACGGAGGAUGCGAGCGUUAUCCGGAUUUAUUGGGUUUAAAGGGUGCGUAGGCGGUCUGUUAAGUUAGGGGUGAAAGCCCGGGGCUCAACCCCGGGAAUGCCUUUGAUACUGGUCGGCUAGAGAUGAGGAGAGGUAGGCGGAAUGUGUGGUGUAGCGGUGAAAUGCUUAGAGAUCGUGCAGAACACCGAUUGCGAAGGCAGCAUACCG
rnacentral:rRNA from 1 species